GUGUUUACACCCUCCACCUCUAUAAAUAGAUAACCAAAUAUUUUAGUAAGGGUGUGGUAGUCAUGAACAAAACAUACUUUGGUUUGUUGUUCAUUUUUCUAAUUAUCCUUCCCUCCCAGAUGAUGGUGGAAACAGAAGGAGCUGCAUGCAUUGAAGAUGAAUGCAUAUCAUUUUGCAUUGAAGAAGGUUUUCUAGAAGGUAAAUGCAUAGAUAUCACAUGCUAUUGCUCGUCCCGUCCAAUGAUUACCAAAUGAGCACAGCACCGAUUCUGGGCAAAAACAAAUAUAUCUUUAGUGUAGGGUUUUAAAAUUUGGAGCUAAUUUUAAAAAAUAAAAUUAUAUAUAUAUAUAUAUAUAUAUAUAUAUAUAUAUAUAUAUAUAUAUAUAUAUAUAUAUAUAUAUAUAUAUAUAUAUAUAUAUAUAUAUAUAUA